rnacentral:rRNA from 1 species
AGUCCGGAAGGUGACCGGACCCUUCGGGGAGCCAUUACAGGUGUUGCAUGGCUGUCGUCAGCUCGUGUCGUGAGAUGUUCGGUUAAGUCCGCUAACGAGCGCAACCCUCGCUGUGUGUUAUAUGUGUCACACAGGACUGCUGGUAUUAAGCCGGAGGAAGGUGGGGACGACGUCAAGUCAGCAUGACCUUUAUAUCCAGGGCUACACACACGCUACAAUGGUCAGUACAAUGGGUUGCCAAGCCGCGAGGCGGAGCCAAUCCUAAAAAGCUGGCCUCAGUUCAGAUUGCAGUCUGAAACUCGACUGCAUGAAGUCGGAGUUGCUAGUAACCGCAGGUCAGCUAUACUGCGGUGAAUACGUUCCCGGGUCUU